GAUGAACGCUGACAGAAUGCUUAACACAUGCAAGUCGACUUGAAUUUGGGUUUUUAACUUAGGUUUGGGUGGCGGACGGGUGAGUAACGCGUAAAGAACUUGCCUCACAGCUAGGGACAACAUUUGGAAACGAAUGCUAAUACCUAAUAUUAUGAUAAUAGAGCAUCCUAUAAUUAUGAAAGCUAUAAGCGCUGUGAGAGAGCUUUGCGUCCCAUUAGCUAGUUGGAGAGGUAACGGCUCACCAAGGAGAUGAUGGGUAGCCGGCCUGAGAGGGUGAUCGGCCACAAGGGGACUGAGACACGGCCAUUACUCCUACGGGAGGCAGCAGUGGGGAAUAUUGGACAAUGGACCGAGAGUCUGAUCCAGCAAUUCUGUGUGCACGAUGAAGUUUUUCGGAAUGUAAAGUGCUUUCAGUUGGGAAGAAACAAAUGACGGUACCAACAGAAGAAGUGACGGCUAAAUACGUG
rnacentral:rRNA from 1 species